GAAAUGCGAUAAGCAAUGCGAAUUGCAGAAUACCGCGAGUCAUCAGAUUUUUGAACGCAGCCCGCGCCGGAGAGAUAUCUCUUCGGCAUGUUUGUUUCAGUGUGUUUGGUUGACUUCACAAAACUUAAUGCGAUUGAAGCGCUCUUCUUAAAUGAAGCACACUUCUCUCGUGAAAAUCGAAGGCGCGGACUCGUCCGCCAACGAUGUGGUCACUGUCAAACAGUGAAUUUCGUUGGAUCAACGGAUUAGUCACUAAAAAAUUAUGCGUCUUAUUAUCUAACUUUCUUCAAUCUGCACCUGAAAUCAAGCAAGGCCACCCGCUGAACUUAA
rnacentral:misc_RNA from 1 species